rnacentral:rRNA from 1 species
UCGAAAGAUGUGCUAAUACCGCAUAUUCUCUGAGGAGGAAAGUAGGGGAUCGAAAGACCUUAUGCUUUUGGAGCGGCCGAUGUCUGAUUAGCUAGUUGGUAAGGUAAUGGCUUACCAAGGCGACGAUCAGUAGUUGGUCUGAGAGGACGGCCAGCCACACUGGGACUGGGACACGGCCCAGACUCCUACGGGAGGCAGCAGUGGGGAAUUUUGGACAAUGGGCGCAAGCCUGAUCCAGCAAUGCCGCGUGAGUGAAGAAGGCCUUCGGGUUGUAAAGCUCUUUCAGUCGAGAAGAAAAGGUUGUGACUAAUAAUCAUAACUCAUGACGGUACCUUGAUAAGAAGCACCGGCUAACUACGUGCCAGCAGCCGCGGUAAUACGUAGGGUGCGAGCGUUAAUCGGAAUUACUGGGCGUAAAGCGAGCGCAGGCGGUUUGGUAAGUCAGAUGUGAAAUCCCCGGGCUCAACCUGGGAACUGC